rnacentral:rRNA from 1 species
UACGGGGGGGGCAAGCGUUGUUCGGAAUUACUGGGCGUAAAGGGCUCGUAGGCGGUUUGUCGCGUCGGGAGUGAAAACUCAGGGCUUAACCCUGAGCCUGCUUCCGAUACGGGCAGACUAGAGGUAUGCAGGGGAGAACGGAAUUCCUGGUGUAGCGGUGAAAUGCGCAGAUAUCAGGAGGAACACCGGUGGCGAAGGCGGGUCUCUGGGCCGAUACUGACGCUGAGGAGCGAAAGCAUGGGUAGCGAACAGG